rnacentral:rRNA from 1 species
ACGGGGUGCAGCAGGCGCGAAACCUCCUCAAUGCACACACGUGCGAAGGGGUUACCUCGAGUGCCGCCUGAUGAAGGCGGCUUUUCCGUGGUGUAAAAAGCCUAGGGAAUAAGAGGGGGGCAAGACUGGUGUCAGCCGCCGCGGUAACACCAGCCCCUCGAGUGGUGGGGAUGAUUAUUUGGCCUAAAGCGUCCGUAGCCGGCCGGAUAAGUCUCCCGUUAAAUCCAGCGUCUCAAGCGUUGGACUGCGGGAGAUACUGUCUGGCUAGAGAGUGGGAGAGGUAUACGGUAUUCUGGGGGUAGGGGCGAAAUCCAUUGAUCCCCGGAGGACCACCAGUGGCGAAGGCUGUAUACUAGAACACGUCUGACGGUCAGGGACGAAAGCUGGGGUAGCGAACCGGAUUAGAUACCCGGGUAGUCCCAGCCGUAAACGAUGCACGCUAGGUGUUGGGUUGGCCACGAGCCGCCCCAGUGCCACAGGGAAGCCAUUAAGCGUGCCGCCUGGGGAGUACGGCCGCAAGGCUGAAACUUAAAGGAAUUGGCGGGGGAGCACCACCAGGCGUGAAGCCUGCGGUUUAAUCGGAGUCAACGCCGGGAACCUUACCGGGAGCGACAGCAGGGUGAAGGCCAAGCUGAAGACUUUGCCAGACAAGCUGAGAGGAGGUGCAUGGCCGUCGCCAGUUCGUGCCGUGAGGUGUUCUCUUAAGUGAGAUAACGAACGAGACCCGUGCCGCAUGUUGCCAUCAGGACCUAUAGGGUUGCUGA